AAGAGUUUAGUUUAUGUUUAAAAUGUUAAAUUGUAAAUUUAGAGAAUUUUUUGCUCUUG
rnacentral:tRNA from 1 species